rnacentral:rRNA from 1 species
CCUACGGGAGACAGCAGUGAGGAAUAUUGGUCAAUGGCCGAGAGGCUGAACCAGCCAAGUCGCGUGAGGGAAGACGGCCCUACGGGUUGUAAACCUCUUUUGUCGGGGAGCAAAGCGAACCACGUGUGGUUCAUUGAGAGUACUCGAAGAAAAAGCAUCGGCUAACUCCGUGCCAGCAGCCGCGGUAAUACGGAGGAUGCGAGCGUUAUCCGGAUUUAUUGGGUUUAAAGGGUGCGCAGGCGGAGGUGCAAGUCAGCGGUCAAAUUGCGGGGCUCAACCCCGUACUGCCGUUGAAACUGCAACCCUUGAGUGCGCGAGAGGUAGGCGGAAGUCGUGGUGUAGCGGUGAAAUGCAUAGAUAUCACGAAGAACUCCGAUUGCGAAGGCAGCAUACCGGCGUGCAACUGACGCUCAUGCACGAAAGCGUGGGUAUCGAACAGGAUUAGAUACCCGGGUAGUC